CCUGGUGACAUCUAGGUCUCCCAACAGUCACGUGUUCCUUGUCAUGUCUCUGCCCAGACAGCCCUAACCCUGGAUGACUUCUGCUGCCAGGGGGACUCAGCCAGAAGUACGGACCCCUGCAUCUUCAUCACAGCUGCAAGGUCACCCAGCUCCCAGCUCUGAGUGAGGUGUCAUCCUGUGAGUCCCACCUUGACUCACUGCUUUUUGGGAGGCUGUAACCUGAAGGAGGAGAGGAAAAAUGUUCCCGUUGGCAGGACAGUCUGUGAAAUGGGGUAACAGUACACAGGUUGUGAGAGCAAUGUGAUUGUGCCGGCUGGAACCAGGCAUACAGUAAGCAAUUAGUACAGGAGGACCCUGUGAAUGUGGAUUUCGCCACCUGAAGCAGAGAUACCAGCUGUUCCCCAGCCUCUAUUGUUUGAUGGGCUGAACUUUUGCACAGGCCCUUCUUCAACUUCAAAUGCCCUUCCUUCAGCACCCAUCUCCAGUGUCCCAUCCUCCCCAGCUUGCCUGAGACAGUGAACCACAGCUGAUAUUUGGGCUUGGGUGGCUAUACCUCUCUGUUCCCUGGUCCCUCCAAAGUCCCAGAUGGCUUUCUGUUCACUUUGGGACCCAGAAGACACCCGCAGCAGGAAGGCAUCAGAGGAGAAAGUGCUGGAAAGUCCUAAUUCCAAGGAAAUGGGUGCUGUGGCCUCCAUUUUAUAGAUGAUAAAUGAAGGCACAGAGAGGUCACCUGAAGGAAACAAUGAAGUUCGGAAGCUGAGCCUGGCCCAGGCCUCCAAAACCAGGACCUGGAAGACACUGAUGCACAGCUGGGCCUUCCUAUCCCUUCUCUGGAGCCAGGGACUGGAAGCUUCCGCAGCUUUGUGUUUCCUAUUCUCUGGAGCGCUGAGGGACAAUCUCAUCUGACACAAUGAAUGAAG